AGUAAACAGCAAAAGCUGUAGUUUCAAAAAAGAGAGAAAAUGAAAACUGCAAAAAGAGCUUUUUAAAAGUGAUUUAAUAGAAGGCAGUGGUCCAUUACCGAUCUGCCGCUCCUGAGGCCUGUCUGUUCCCAUCCCAUCACGUUUUCCUCCUCCAUCCAGUUGGACAGUUUCCUCUUAAGGUUCUCUCCUCCUCAGGCCUUCAGACAGUAGCUCCAAAGGCCACCCAGCUUCCAGAUGAGCCACAGUGGCAAGCUCUCUACUGCCUGUCUCAGUCCCUGAGAUCAACCACAGCAUCUUUUCAACAAUAUUAAGAGUGAAACCCUAAGCUUGUUGACUGAGAAUUUAUAUGCCCAAUUAUGUUUAGGGUUGCAGCAAAGUGUCCCAGAAUUCUACAGUAUGAACAAGUCAGAAAGACUUUCCUAAUAGCUGCUCUGUUUAUUUUUUCUUCAAGGUUUCCUAGACCCUAAAUGUGAUUUUUGUAACCAGUUCAAAAAACAUUUUCCUUUGGGUGGGCAUUUGGUCUCCAUGAUGAGCUGGGAA